CGCAAGCCUGACGGAGCAACGCCGCGUGUGGGAAGAAGGCUCUUGGGCUGUCAACCACUUUUCUCAGGGAAGAAGUCCUGACGGUACCUGAGGAAUCAGCCUCGGCUAACUCCGUGCCAGCAGCCGCGGUAAUACGGAGGAGGCAAGCGUUAUCCGGAAUUAUUGGGCGUAAAGCGUCCGCAGGUGGCGAUUCAAGUCUGCUGUCAAAGCACGGGGCUUAACUCCGUUAAGGCAGUGGAAACUGAAUGGCUAGAGUGCCGUAGGGGUAGAGGGAAUUCCCGGUGUAGCGGUGAAAUGCGUAGAGAUCGGGAAGAACAUCGGUGGCGAAAGCGCUCUACUGGACCAUCUCUGACACUCAGAGGACGAAAGCUAGGGGAGCG
rnacentral:rRNA from 1 species